rnacentral:rRNA from 1 species
GAUGAACGCUGGCGGCGUGCCUAAUACAUGCAAGUCGAGCGAACAGAUGAGGAGCUUGCUCCUCUGACGUUAGCGGCGGACGGGUGAGUAACACGUGGAUAACCUACCUAUAAGACUGGGAUAACUUCGGGAAACCGGAGCUAAUACCGGAUAAUAUAUUGAACCGCAUGGUUCAAUAGUGAAAGACGGUUUUGCUGUCACUUAUAGAUGGAUCCGCGCCGCAUUAGCUAGUUGGUAAGGUAACGGCUUACCAAGGCAACGAUGCGUAGCCGACCUGAGAGGGUGAUCGGCCACACUGGAACUGAGACACGGUCCAGACUCCUACGGGAGGCAGCAGUAGGGAAUCUUCUGCAAAGGGCGAAAGCCUGACGGAGCAACGCCGCGUGAGUGAUGAAGGUCUUCGGAUCGUAAAACUCUGUUAUUAGGGAAGAACAAAUGUGUAAGUAACUAUGCACGUCUUGACGGUACCUAAUCAGAAAGCCACGGCUAACUACGUG